rnacentral:rRNA from 1 species
GACGAACGCUGGCGGCGUGCUUAACACAUGCAAGUCGAACGCUGAACCCGCUUCGGUGGGGGAUGAGUGGCGAACGGGUGAGUAACACGUGGGCAACCUGCCCCCGGCUCUGGGAUAACUCCAAGAAAUUGGGGCUAAUACCGGAUGUGACCGCUGGCCGCAUGGUCUGGUGGUGGAAAGGGUUUCCGGCUGGGGAUGGGCCCGCGGCCUAUCAGCUUGUUGGUGGGGUAGUGGCCUACCAAGGCGACGACGGGUAGCCGGCCCGAGAGGGUGACCGGCCACACUGGGACUGAGACACGGCCCAGACUCCUACGGGAGGCAGCAGUGGGGAAUAUUGCGCAAUGGGCGGAAGCCUGACGCAGCGACGCCGCGUGGGGGAUGACGGCCUUCGGGUUGUAAACCUCUUUCAGCAGGGACGAAGCGCAAGUGACGGUACCUGCAGAAGAAGCACCGGCCAACUACGUG